rnacentral:misc_RNA from 1 species
UCGUGGCCGUCCUAAACGGAUAGACAGAUCGCACGAGUGCUACAGAAGGCAUGCUGGGUAACAAUCCUAGUUUUCAUUUUCACUUUUAAUCACGAAACACUAAAUCCAAAACAAAAUGAGAAAAGCUGAAAUUGAUGCUAUGUUGGUGCUACAAAAACAACAAUAUUUUCAUUGACAACAACAAACAGUGCUCUGCAUCAGUAUUUGUUGAUGACGACAACUGCAACAAGAACACAAUAAAUAUUAGCAACAACAACAGCAAGAACAAUGACAAAAAAUAGAAAAAAACGAACUACAACACUGAGUGCAGCAGCUGCAGAAAAGAUAAUAUCAAGUGCAACAACAGCAAUCAGGAAAUCAGUAGCAACGACUGCAACAGUUGGAGUUAAUAGUACUGAUACUAAUAUUACCACUAAUAAUAUUAAUAAUAAUAAUAAUAAUAAUAAUAAUGAUAACCACAACAGCAGCAGCAAGAAUAGAAACAAC